UACGGAGGAUGCAAGCGUUAUCCGGAAUGAUUGGGCGUAAAGCGUCCGCAGGUGGCCAUGUAAGUCUGCUGUUAAAGAGUCUAGCUCAACUAGAUAAGAGCAGUGGAAACUACAUAGCUAGAGUACGUUCGGGGCAGAGGGAAUUCCUGGUGUAGCGGUGAAAUGCGUAGAGAUCAGGAAGAACACCAGUGGCGAAGGCGCUCUGCUAGGCCGUAACUGACACUGAGGGACGAAAGCUAGGGGAGCGAAUGGG
rnacentral:rRNA from 1 species